CUAACACAACAGAUACACUGCAUACACUAACACAACACACACACUGCAUACACUAACACACACUGCAUACAAUAACACAACACACACACUGCAUUCACUAACACAACACACACACUGCAUUCACUAACACAACACACACACACUGCAUACACUAACACACACACACACUGCAUACAAUAACACACACACACACUGCAUACAAUAACACACACACACACACUGCAUUCACUAACACCACACACACACUGCAUUCACUAAC